UACGGGGUGGGCAAGCGUUGUUCGGAAUUACUGGGCGUAAAGGGCUCGUAGGCGGCCAACUAAGUCCGACGUGAAAUCCCUAGGCUUAACCUAGGAACUGCGUCGGAUACUGGAUGGCUUGAAUCCGGGAGAGGGAUGCGGAAUUCCAGGUGUAGCGGUGAAAUGCGUAGAUAUCUGGAGGAACACCGGUGGCGAAGGCGGCAUCCUGGACCGACACUGACACUGAGGAGCGAAAGCCAGGGGAGCAAACGGG
rnacentral:rRNA from 1 species